rnacentral:misc_RNA from 1 species
AAAGUCGUAACAAGGUUUCCGUAGGUGAACCUGCGGAAGGAUCAUUACAGAGACAGUGCCCCUGGGCACAUCUCCCACCCUGUGUAUACCUACCAUGUUGCUUCGGCGGUACCUGUUGGGUGACCGCAGUCCGCCAGAAGACCUCCAAACUCUUGUAAUUAUGUUGUCUGAGCCUAAAAAGAAAUAAACAAAACUUUCAACAACGGAUCUCUUGGUUCUG